UCCAAGUCAGAGGAAACUCCUGGAGCUUCUCAUUGGUCGGCACCGCUCUUAUGCUAAUCAGGGGGCAGGCCUAGCCUAUAAAGGUCCCAGCGGUUCAGGAUGGCACUACUUCUGUUCUCUGCAGACCAGUGCCCACGGACACCGAGGAGGACAUGAGCGAGUCCGUGAUGCUCAACAAGGAAAAGGACAUGAGCGAGUCCGUGAUGCUCAACAAAGAAAACGACAUGAGCGAGUCCGUGAUGGCCACAGAUAAGGAAAAGGACGCGAGUGAGUCAGCGCGGUGUGGCCGCAAGCUGCCGCUGUGGCUGGGGCUCCUGCUGCUCCUGGUGGUGGCGGGGCUGCUUGCGCCCCUGAUCUACUUCGCUGUCAGGGCCAACAGCGAGGCCUGCCUGGAUGGCCUCCGAGCACAGACAGAGUGUCAGGGGCUCAACCAACACCUGCAGCGCCAGCUACACCAGGCCCAGGAAGUCUUACACCAGAAGGAAGCCGAAGCUGCCACCUGCGAACAGACGGUGGUGACCCUGAGGGACUCUCUGAAGAAGGAGCAGGCACGAGUGGAGGAGCUUCAGGGAGAGUUGGCGACCUUGAACCAACAGCUGCAGGACGCUUGGGAGAGACUGAGAAGACAGAGUGAGACGUCCAGAAACAACGCGUCCAGCUGCUCGAGCUUCCUAUUCGUUGUGAUCGCGGUCUUGGUCGUCAGCGCUCUGCUAACAUGAGAUCCCAGAAAGCCGGCCGGUAGGAUUGGGCAGCUCCUGGGAGAAGAAAGCUCGAAGGCCACAAGCAGGACUGGGCCGACUCCAGCUCGGAUUCCCGGGUUGAGGCUUCCGGACCUGGCCAGUCCUGACACGACCACAUGGCAACAGAUUGUAAGGACGAUGGGGUAGCCUAAGGGGCCCAAGCCAGGGCAGUCCUGAAAGGAUGCAUUGAGUGGGAAAGUAACAGAGCUGGCCCAAGGCCGCCCACAGCUAGGGAUGGCACGCGAGUCAGGUUGCAGCACCUCCAUCUUGCUGACAACUGCUCUUAGAAAGUCACUUUCCUCUUGGGUCUUUGGACUUGAAAUGUAAACCUCCCUUUAGGGGGAAAACUGGACUCUCAAGUGUUGGAGCAUUACUGUGUGACCUCCCAAAGCAUCUGAGGCCUGCCCUGCAGACAAAGGUGGACAUCUAUUGACAUCCACAGCCAGCCUUUCCUGCUCUAGAAUGUUCCUCAAGAUCUCUAGGAUUCCAGCAGGCACCACCCACUGCAUCCCCAGCCCUCUUCUCUGCGGACAGCAUCUGAAGGACCCUCGUCAGUGCUCCCUGCCUGCAGUUUUCUUCCCUCAUCUCCUGGCUUCUCUCAUCUCAUUCCCAUUUCAGCUUCUGAUGACAUGGUUCCACGAGGAAACCGAGGCUGUGACGAGGGCCACUUUGUCCUGGCUCCCAAUCCCCUCCGGCAGGAAGGGCAGGGCUGGGAUUCAAACGUGGGUGUACAGACUCGGGACAGAUCUGUGUCUCCUGGUCCUGCCACCUCCGUCCCCCAAGCUCCUAUUCAUCCGGCAGUACCCAGCUCUGGGAGCCCCUCCCCCUAAAGGUUUCUCUGCUUCUCAAAAUGAAGUCCUCGAGGAGUUCUCAGAUGACUCAGUGGUUCAGAUUCCAGGCUCCCGUGGCCUGGGUUCAAUCCCUGGUCUAGGAACUGGUAUCCCAUAAGCUGGGAGACAUGACCAAUAAAAAGGAAAGAAAGCUCUCCCUGAGUGUACCCCCUGCUCCUAAAAUAGUGGAUGAUGGUGGCCUUCGUUAACAGAGCCCCUUAUAAGUGUAUGUUCUCUACGUGACUGCAAAGAAUGUCCCAGAAUGCUUUAGUGGAAUGAAGCUUGUCAAAAAUGAGAAAGAGCCAAAGUUGGAACAGUUUGAGUGACAAAAUUAAUAUCAUCACAUGUAAAAUAAAUAUCCAUAAGUUCACAGAAAUAUAAAUACAUGACUGGUUAAAACAAUAAAUGAAAGAGAGGAGAAAAAUCUCCCAGGCGGAAGAAUAUUAAAUAACAUACACAAAUAUCUCGCCCUCAAGAGGAUGACGUGUGGCUUCCCAUGGCGUUGGUGGACUACAAAUCGUCACCUCUUUGCAGAAGGCACAGGUGGAAGGGAGGAAGGAGGUCGCUUUAUGGUGCAGACACCCGACGGACACCACCUCAGCCAGGGGGCCAUGAUCAACAUCACAGGCUAAGGCAGGGGAUAGUACGUGCCAUGGACACACGUAUGUGAUGAGAAAGGCAAUUUCCCUCUCCGGUCCUUCUUGCCAAAGCCCAGUCCAACCAUGAGAAAAACACCAGACAAAUCCCAACCGAGGACCACCCUACAGAACACCUGACUCUAAACUCUCAAGGUCGUCAAGACCAAGAAAGCUCGAGAAUCUGCCUGACCAAAGGGAGCCUAAAGAGGCAUCAGGACUAAGGGUCCCAUGAGGAUCCGGGGGCAGAGAGGGGACAUUAGGGGAAAGCUGAGGAGAUCGGAAUAAUGCAUGGACUUCAGUUAAUACUGUUAUCAGUCAGUAUUGGUUCAUACAUUGCAACACAGGUACCUUAUAGAUGAAUGACCAAAGUAGGGGAAAUGGGGUGUGGGGUUGAUGGAAAGUUUCUGGACUAUUUUUGCUGAAUUUGUGCAAACCAAAUAAAAUGAGUCUUUAA